CAUUACAGACUGAUUUCACAGUAGCCUACGGCAUGAGUAAUUCCCACAGAGCCGUGUGAGUGAGUGACAGUCACAAACAGACAUUCAAGAAGUCUAUUUCAGCCAGCCCAUUGUGACACAGGCCUGGAACCCCAACCUCAGGAGUCGCAGGCAGGAAGAUCACAACUUAAAUCUAUCAGUGAGAUUCUGUCUCAAAAGCAAAAGGUAAAGGCCCACGCCUUUCAGUUGUAAGACCCCCGAAACUGGGGAGACCUCAGCUCAAGUCCCGGGAUGAGCUGGCCAGCACCCCAAUGACUGGAGAGAA